GACGAACGCUGGCGGCGUGCUUAACACAUGCAAGUCGAACGAUGAAGCCGGAGCUUGCUCUGGUGAAUUAGUGGCGAACGGGUGAGUAACACGUGAGUAACCUGCCCUUGACUCUGGGAUAACUGCGGGAAACUGUAGCUAAUACCGGAUACGACCCUCGGAGGCAUCUCCUGGGGGUGGAAAGAAUUUCGGUCAAGGAUGGACUCGCGGCCUAUCAGCUAGUUGGUGAGGUAAAGGCUAACCAAGGCGACGACGGGUAGCCGGCCUGAGAGGGUGACCGGCCACACUGGGACAGAGACACGGUCCAGACUCCUACGGGAGGCAGCAGUGGGGAAUAUUGCACAAUGGGCGCAAGCCUGAUGCAGCAACGCCGCGUGAGGGAUGACGGCCUUCGGGUUGUAAACCUCUUUUAGCAGGGAAGAAGCGAAAGUGACGGUACCUGCAGAAAAAGCACCGGCUAACUACGUGCCAGCCGCCGCCGUAA
rnacentral:rRNA from 1 species